GCUCCCUAAAAAUCACUUAUACAAAGAAGUUUUUCGAUCGCGCUCACUAACUCACUAAGAAGAAGUAUCGUUCUCCUCUGUGACCCUGCUUUGGAAACCUAACAUCCACUGCGCGCCUCCUCCGCACGCCUCCUCCUCAUUGGUUCUUUCCUGCAACCCUAGCCUCCAUCGCACACUCCUCUUCUGCAUUGGCACUCCCUUGAACCCUAGCCUCCACUAACUCGUGCCUCCUAUGCAUUUUCCCGCUCCUGCAACCCUGGCCUCCAACGCAUUGGCCCUCCCCAAAACCCUAGCCUCCACGACAUGCUCUUCCUCUACAUUGGCCUUCCCAUGGAAGCACCUCCACUCACACUCACUGAAGUUGGAGUCUCUUGAAGCAUUGAAGAAAACGUUUAAGAAGCUAGACCAUGAUGUAAAUAUACAAGAAUUUUUUGGCACAAGGGUAUUGUUAUUGCAUUCAAGUCUAGAGCUACCAUAGUUGAUAGCACGGUUGGGAAUUUAUGUGCUGUAGUAGAAGGUGGACCGUUGGUGGAAAUGCACUCAUCGUAAUUAUUGAUGUUAAGAAACUUUAGAUAUUAUUAAUAUGUUAGAAAAUGUUAUUCAGACAUUAUGAAUGCUUUUGUAUAUAGAUAGUUGUAUUUUAUAAUGUUUAGAUUUUUGACCAUGUUAAACUUAUGU